GAACACUCCAAACCAGCUCUGGUUGAUGAAAGUGCAUCAAAAUCAGUCCUUUUCCUUGGAACUGACUGUGCUGGUUCCUGGCAAUUGACACGUUUGAUCAAAUCUAGUGUCAUUGUUAGAGUUAUGUGGACUUUAACAAUGAUUUCUGAAUCUGCCUAUUUUUCUUCCAUCAUUAAUCACCCUAGAGAAGAUAAGCAUCGUAUAAGACUAACCAACUAGUCUUAUGGUUGGCAGUCACUCCAUUGGAAUUACCUUGCCUCUGGGAAGGGCUUUCAGCAGUGACAGAAGAGUGUCCUCCUAAGGAAGAGUAUGGUCAACUCACAUCAUGGGUGUGAAGUUGCUUGAGGAUAUGCUCAGUGGCUGUAGUACAUGACACACUGUGUUGCUCCCAUAAAACGGAUGCUGCAAGGGAACAAAAAGGCAUGAAUUUAUCUCUAAUGUUAGAAAUGUUGAUCUAGCAGAAGAAUAGUGCAUUCAUAACCAAAAUGUCUGUGAUUUUCGCUAACGGUGCAGACUGAAAACCAUUUAUAUUGCAAACUGUGGUAUGAAGAUGGACCCAGCUUUAUGGAGACUUAAUUUUCAAUCAUCUAAUGCAUGUUUAUAACCAUUUAAUUUGUCUUUUCUAGGAUUUUUAUAUGCUGAUUGUUCAUCAAUAUUUAAUUCUUUAUUUUCUGAGUUUACAGAAUAAUAAAUUCAAAAUGCAGUGCAUUAAUUUAAAGCAACUAAGACCUAUCUGACGUAUUUAGACUAUUAGGUUUUGACAGUCAUUUUGAGAAAUUAUUCUCUGGGAGCAGAUAUUUCUGUAGCAAAUCAUUUCCAGCAUUAUUGUUAGGGUUCUUGUUAUUAUUUACAUUUAUCUACCACUAAAAUUGAGCUCCUUGAAGGCUUAUUUUUAGUCUCCUUUCUAUUUGGUACAGGACUCACUCUGCUGCUCUAAAAGACAGAAUUUAUCUGGAUUGUCAUGUCUUUUUACAGUGUCGGGCAAACUGUUAGGGUCAGUGACAUUUUGAUUGCCGCUAGCCAACAGUAUCAUAAUCUAAAAUGAUGUCUUUCAAUGUUUUCAGAUGGAUCAGUGUGAAGUAGUGGUCACAUUUCAUCACCUUUAGGCUCUUGAAAGACAAAUAUGGAUGAAAAAUGCUUAUGUUUUCAUUGCAGAGAGUUGCAAAAUCCUAAGAACGGUCCAUACAGCUUCAUUCAUCAAAUCAUGCCAGUCUUUUUCAGACAAAUGUAGAGUUUAUUCCUUUUUUUGUAAUAGAUCUUCAUGUAAACUCAACAGGGAUUAUCAUCACACGUGCCAAAAGCCAGCUGUUUAUAAGAAAUAUUUUUUAUUUGCAUGCUUUACCCAACAAAUGCAUUCCUGUUGUGUACUGUACAAGCAUAGCCCACUUGUAAUUAAUGAAACUCCACAGUAACUACUGUAGGUAUUUAAUGUGAGCACCAUGCCUUAAUAAGGAGUGUAGGAUUUUAAGAACAUAAUGAUUUUUUUGUGUCCCUAGAUGUAUGUUAUCACUGUCUAACUGAUGUGAGAUAAAAUGCUAAGACAUGUUUUGAAAUUAAAGGAUGUUCUCAAGUACAAAUAAUUCCCUUUUAUAUUACUCCCAUUUUUUUAAAGAUCCAAUCCUAAUAGUUUCUAAGUAGCACUAAUGGGCUGCUGAAAAGUUCAUCUCUGUUUGGUCCACACAGGAUUAAGUGUAAACAACCAAUCCUGUCUGUGAAAAUCCUCAGUGUGGGAACAUCAGGGAUUCCAAAGAAAGUAAUAAAAUUGAGGAGGGAUUUUUUGUGGUCUAUGCAUCUAUGAAAAUGGAUUUUCUCAGGAAAAAAAAAAUCCAGUGUAAGUAAUCUGAGUAAGAGUUGAGGAUUGUAGAGGCUAAUCUAAAAUAAUAGGGUUUUUUUUUGUUUUGUUUUACUCCUCAUUCCAUUAAGCACUCCAUUAAAUAUUUUCAGAACCUUAAGGCAAAAUAAAGACAAAAUGAAUAAAAACAAAAUUGGCAAGUGAUAAAGCAGAUUUUAAGCUCAAAUCUUUUCACUGGCUCAAAUUUUGAAGUUCUUGUACUGGAUAUCACAGUGAACUCAUGAGUAAUUCAGAACUCCUGUAAUUAUAAUUUGAAAUAUUCAUUAAAUACAAUUGU
rnacentral:lncRNA from 7 species